rnacentral:rRNA from 1 species
GAUGAACGCUGGCGGCGUGCCUAAUACAUGCAAGUCGAGCGAACAGACGAGGAGCUUGCUCCUCUGACGUUAGCGGCGGACGGGUGAGUAACACGUGGAUAACCUACCUAUAAGACUGGGAUAACUUCGGGAAACCGGAGCUAAAACCGGAUAAUAUAUUGAACCGCAUGGUUCAAUAGUGAAAGACGGUUUUGCUGUCACUUAUAGAUGGAUCCGCGCCGCAUUAGCUAGUUGGUAAGGUAACGGCUUACCAAGGCAACGAUGCGUAGCCGACCUGAGAGGGUGAUCGGCCACACUGGAACUGAGACACGGUCCAGACUCCUACGGGAGGCAGCAGUAGGGAAUCUUCCGCAAUGGGCGAAAGCCUGACGGAGCAACGCCGCGUGAGUGAUGAAGGUCUUCGGAUCGUAAAACUCUGUUAUUAGGGAAGAACAAAUGUGUAAGUAACUAUGCACGUCUUGACGGUACCUAAUCAGAAAGCCACGGCUAACUACGUG